AUCCUUCAAUGUAAAAUUAGGAUUUGAACCAGCGAAGCUGGUCGACAAAACUCGCGCAGCGAUUUUGAACGUGCUUUAGCACGGCCCGAAGGGCGAGGAACGCAGUGACGAGUAAUCCAGCACGACCCACCA
rnacentral:sRNA from 1 species